rnacentral:rRNA from 13 species
UAAGAAGGGCAUUUAGUGGAUGCCUUGGCAUGCACAGCCGAUGAAGGACGUGAUACGCUGCGAAAAGCUAUGGGGAGCUGCGAAUACGCUAUGAUCCAUAGAUGUCCGAAUGGGGAAACCCACCUUAGAUACUUAGAAAUUCAAUUGAGCCGUAAGGCUCGGUGCUUCACGCAUUGGCUCUAGGGCUUAAUUGAUUUCUAAGUAUCGCUAUAAGGUAUCUUAACCUGAAUACAUAGGGUUAAGAAGGGAACGAGGGGAACUGAAACAUCUAA